GACGAACGCUGGCGGCGUGCCUAAUACAUGCAAGUCGAACGCAGUGGGGACGGGUGAGUAACACGUGGGUAACCUCCCAUCAGAGGGGAUAACACUUGGAAACAGGUGCUAAACCGAUACUGAUGGAUGGACCCUCGGUGGAUUAGCUAGUUGGUGAGGUAACGGCUCACCAAGGCCACGAGGCAUAGCUGACAUAAGAGGGUGAAUGGCCACACGGGGACAGAGACACGGCCCAGACUCCUACGGGGGGCAGCAGUAGGGAUUCUUCGGCAAUGGACGAAAGGCUAAUCGAGCAACGCCGCGUGAGUGAAGAAGGUUUUCGGAUCGUAAAACUCUGUUGUUAGAGAAGCGGUAUCUAACCAGAAAGCCACGGCUAACUACGUGCCAGCCGCCGCGGUAAUUC
rnacentral:rRNA from 1 species